CCUCCCCGCCGGAAGAUCAAGGUUUCCUGCGCAACGCUAAUCGGCGCAGGGUGAGUCGGCCCCUAAGGCGAGGCAGAAAUGCGUAGUCGAUGGGAAUCAGGUUAAUAUUCCUGGACUCCUUAUUAUUGCGAUGGAGGGACGGAGAAGGCUAGGCCAUCAGGGCGUUGGUUGUCCCUGUUUAAGGUUGUAGGCUGGCUGCUUAGGUAAAUCCGGGCGGUCGAGGCCGAGAGCUGAUGACGAUCUCAAGGCGAGAGCUGCGAGAGAAGUGGUUGAUGCCAUGCUUCCAAGAAAAGCUUCUAAGCUUCAGGUAAUGAGGAACCGUACUGUAAACCGACACAGGUGAUCAGGUAGAGAAUACCAAGGCGCUUGAGAGAACUCGGGUGAAGGAACUAGGCAAAAUGGUACCGUAACUUCGGGAGAAGGUACGCCGGCUCUGGUGAUGGCACUUGCUGCCUAAGCUGGGGCUGGUCGAAGUGACCAGGUGGCUGCGACUGUUUAUUAAAAACAUAGCACUCUGCAAACACGUAAGUGGACGUAUAGGGUGUGACGCCUGCCCGGUGCCGGAAGGUUAAUUGAUGGGGUUAUCUUCGGAGAAGCUCUUGAUCGAAGCCCCGGUAAACGGCGGCCGUAACUAUAACGGUCCUAAGGUAGCGAAAUUCCUUGUCGGGUAAGUUCCGACCUGCACGAAUGGCGUAACGAUGGCCACACUGUCUCCACCCGAGACUCAGUGAAAUUGAAAUCGCUGUUAAGAUGCAGUGUACCCGCGGCUAGACGGAAAGACCCCGUGAACCUUUACUACAGCUUCACAGUGGACUUUGACUUUAUUUGUGUAGGAUAGCUGGGAGGCUUUGAAGCAGUGGCGCUAGCCAUUGUGGAGCCGACCUUGAAAUACCAGCCUGGUAAAGUUGAGGUUCUAACUCAGGCCCGUGAUCCGGGUCGAGGACAUUGUGUGGUGGGUAGUUUGACUGGGGCGGUCUCCUCCCAAAGAGUAACGGAGGAGCACGAAGGUGCGCUAAUCAUGGUCGGAAAUCAUGAGGUUAGUGUAAAGGCACAAGCGCGCUUGACUGUGAGUCUGACAAGACGAACAGGUACGAAAGUAGGUCUUAGUGAUCCGGUGGUUCUGUAUGGAAGGGCCAUCGCUCAACGGAUAAAAGGUACUCCGGGGAUAACAGGCUGAUACCGCCCAAGAGUUCACAUCGACGGCGGUGUUUGGCACCUCGAUGUCGGCUCAUCACAUCCUGGGGCUGAAGCCGGUCCCAAGGGUAUGGCUGUUCGCCAUUUAAAGUGGUACGCGAGCUGGGUUUAGAACGUCGUGAGACAGUUCGGUCCCUAUCUGCCGUGGGCGUUGGAGAAUUGAGGGAAGCUGCUCCUAGUACGAGAGGACCGGAGUGGACGAACCACUGGUGUUCGGGUUGUGUCGCCAGACGCAUUGCCCGGUAGCUAUGUUCGGACAGGAUAACCGCUGAAAGCAUCUAAGCGGGAAGCCCCUCCCAAGAUAAGUUCUCCCUGGGAAUUUAAUUCCCCUGAAGGGCCGUGGAAGACUACCACGUUGAUAGGCUGGGUGUGGAAGCGUUGUGAGGCGUUGAGCUAACCAGUACUAAUUGCCCGUGAGGCUUGACCAUAUAAUCCA
rnacentral:rRNA from 2 species